rnacentral:rRNA from 1 species
ACUCAAUAGAUACCCGGGUAGUCCACGCCCUAAACGAUGUCGACUGGUUGUUGGGGGUUUGACACCCUCAGUAAACGAAAGCUAAACGCGUGAAAGUCGACCGCCUGGGGAGUACGGCCGCAAGGUUAAAACUCAAAGGAAUUGACGGGGACCCGCACAAGCGGUGGAUUAUGUGGAUUAAUUCGAUGCAACGCGAAAAACCUUACCUACCCUUGACAUGUCCGGAAGCCUGCUGAGAGGCGGGUGUGCCCGAAAGGGAACCGGAACACAGGUGCUGCAUGGCUGUCGUCAGCUCGUGUCGUGAGAUGUUGGGUUAAGUCCCGCAACGAGCGCAACCCUUGUCAUUAGUUGCUACAUUCAGUUGGGCACUCUAAUGAGACUGCCGGUGACAAACCGGAGGAAGGUGGGGAUGACGUCAAGUCCUCAUGGCCCUUAUGGGUAGGGCUUCACACGUAAUACAAUGGCGCGUACAGAGGGCUGCUAAGCCGCGAGGUAGAGCCAAUCCCUUAAAGCGCGUCGUAGUCCGGAUUGCAGUCUGCAACUCG